rnacentral:rRNA from 1 species
CCUGAGAAACCCGAAAGAUCGAAAGGGGAGAUUCAUCGUCAGCGGCGUCGGCUUCUCGUCGGCUCGUCGCGCGCUCCCGCGACCAUCCCUCACCGGAUGUGUCGUGUGCUGUAGUCGCGCGGCGUCCUUCGCGUGCGCGCGCCCAAGGGGCGCGCCGUCCAUGUCCGACAACGUAGGCGUGCACUUCUCCCCUAGUAGAACGUCGCGACCCGCUGGGCGCCGGUCUACGGCCCGGUGCGUCGCCUGUCCCGCCGUCCUUUGUGGCGUCGCGGGCCAGACGCCCGGUGCAUCGUCCCGACCGGCUGCCCGGCGGUAUCACUCGCAAGGUACUCUGGCCGCAAGUGCGCGUUCCGCGCGCAACGUGCGUCCUUCGAAAAAGGCUCGCCGCAAGCGCGGUCAGUGCUAACGCAAACCCGUGUCUGUACGGACGAACUACGCCGUCGCCGGGGAUGACCCGCUGUUCGCUGCGCGAUGUCCUCGAACAGGCAUGUGUAGUACCGGUCAGCGACGCUAUUGCUUCGGGUACUUUCAGG